rnacentral:rRNA from 1 species
UACAGAGGGUGCGAGCGUUAAUCGGAAUUACUGGGCGUAAAGCGUGCGUAGACGGUUAUCUAAGUCGGGUGUGAAAGCCCCGGGCUCAACCUGGGAAUUGCAUUCGAGACUGAAUAGCUAGGGUACGGUAGAGGGAAGUGGAAUUUCCGGUGUAGCGGUGAAAUGCGUAGAUAUCGGAAGGAACAUCAGUGGCGAAAGCGAGUCCCUGGACAACUCCUGACACUGAGGCACGAAAGCUAGGGGAGCAAACAGG